rfam:Triticum urartu cultivar G1812 contig912083, whole genome shotgun sequence.
AUAGUACUCCAUCCGUUUCGAAUUAUUUGUCUUGGAUUUGUCUAGAUACGAAUGUAUCUAGACACAUUUUAGUGUUAGAUAUCUCCAUAUCUAGACAAAUCAAAGACAAGUAAUUCGAAACGAAAGGAGUACAAA